rnacentral:rRNA from 1 species
AACGAACGCUGGCGGCAUGCCUAACACAUGCAAGUCGAACGAGACCUUCGGGUCUAGUGGCGCACGGGUGCGUAACGCGUUGGAACCUGCCCUUAGGUUCGGAAUAACUCCCCGAAAGGGGUGCUAAUACCGGAUAAUGUCUUCGGACCAAAGAUUUAUCGCCUUUGGAUGGGCCCGCGUUGGAUUAGCUAGUUGGUAGGGUAAAAGCCUACCAAGGCGACGAUCCAUAGCUGGUCUGAGAGGAUGAUCAGCCACACUGGGACUGAGACACGGCCCAGACUCCUACGGGAGGCAGCAGUGGGGAAUAUUGGACAAUGGGGGAAAGCCUGAUCCAGCAAUGCCGCGUGAGUGAUGAAGGCCUUAGGGUUGUAAAGCUCUUUUACCCGGGAUGAUAAUGACAGUACCGGGAGAAUAAGCUCCGGCUAACUCCGUG